rnacentral:rRNA from 1 species
AGAGUUUGAUCCUGGCUCAGGAUGAACGCUGGCGGCGUGCCUAAUACAUGCAAGUCGAACGCUUCACUUCGGUGAAGAGUGGCGAACGGGUGAGUAAUACAUAAGUAACCUGGCAUCUACAGGGGGAUAACUGAUGGAAACGUCAGCUAAGACCGCAUAGGUGUAGAGAUCGCAUGAACUCUAUAUGAAAAGUGCUACGGGACUGGUAGAUGAUGGACUUAUGGCGCAUUAGCUGGUUGGUAGGGUAACGGCCUACCAAGGCGACGAUGCGUAGCCGACCUGAGAGGGUGACCGGCCACACUGGGACUGAGACACGGCCCAGACUCCUACGGGAGGCAGCAGUAGGGAAUCUUCGGCAAUGGGGGCAACCCUGACCGAGCAACGCCGCGUGAGUGAAGAAGGUUUUCGGAUCGUAAAGCUCUGUUGUAAGUCAAGAACGAGUGUGAGAGUGGAAAGUUCACACUGUGACGGUAGCUUACCAGAAAGGGACGGCUAACUACGUGCCAGCAGCCGCGGUAAUACGUAGGUCCCGAGCGUUGUCCGGAUUUAUUGGGCGUAAAGCGAGCGCAGGCGGUUUGAUAAGUCUGAAGUUAAAGGCUGUGGCUCAACCAUAGUUCGCUUUGGAAACUGUCAAACUUGAGUGCAGAAGGGGAGAGUGGAAUUCCAUGUGUAGCGGUGAAAUGCGUAGAUAUAUGGAGGAACACCGGUGGCGAAAGCGGCUCUCUGGUCUGUAACUGACGCUGAGGCUCGAAAGCGUGGGGAGCGAACAGGAUUAGAUACCCUGGUAGUCCACGCCGUAAACGGUGGAUGCUGGAUGUGGGGCCCGUUCCACGGGUUCCGUGUCGGAGCUAACGCGUUAAGCAUCCCGCCUGGGGAGUACGGCCGCAAGGCUAAAACUCAAAGAAAUUGACGGGGGCCCGCACAAGCGGCGGAGCAUGCGGAUUAAUUCGAUGCAACGCGAAGAACCUUACCUGGGCUUGACAUGUUCCCGACAGCCGUAGAGAUAUGGCCUCCCUUCGGGGCGGGUUCACAGGUGGUGCAUGGUCGUCGUCAGCUCGUGUCGUGAGAUGUUGGGUUAAGUCCCGCAACGAGCGCAACCCU